rnacentral:rRNA from 1 species
UUGCCUAGAUGAAUUUGGUGCUUGCACCAAAUGAAACUAGAUACAAGCGAGCGGCGGACGGGUGAGUAACACGUGGGUAACCUGCCCAAGAGACUGGGAUAACACCUGGAAACAGAUGCUAAUACCGGAUAACAACACUAGACGCAUGUCUAGAGUUUAAAAGAUGGUUCUGCUAUCACUCUUGGAUGGACCUGCGGUGCAUUAGCUAGUUGGUAAGGUAACGGCUUACCAAGGCAAUGAUGCAUAGCCGAGUUGAGAGACUGAUCGGCCACAUUGGGACUGAGACACGGCCCAAACUCCUACGGGAGGCAGCAGUAGGGAAUCUUCCACGAUGGACGCAAGUCUGAUGGAGCAACGCCGCGUGAGUGAAGAAGGGUUUCGGCUCGUAAAGCUCUGUUGGUAGUGAAGAAAGAUAGAGGUAGUAACUGGCCUUUAUUUGACGGUAAUUACUUAGAAAGUCACGGCUAACUACGUGCCAGCAGCCGCGGUAAUACGUAGGUGGCAAGCGUUGUCCGGAUUUAUUGGGCGUAAAGCGAGUGCAGGCGGUUCAAUAAGUCUGAUGUGAAAGCCUUCGGCUCAACCGGAGAAUUGCAUCAGAAACUGUUGAACUUGAGUGCAGAAGAGGAGAGUGGAACUCCAUGUGUAGCGGUGGAAUGCGUAGAUAUAUGGAAGAACACCAGUGGCGA